rnacentral:tRNA from 22 species
UGGGGCGUGGCCAAGUGGUAAGGCAACGGGUUUUGGUCCCGCUAUUCGGAGGUUCGAAUCCUUUCGUCCCAG